UACGAAGGGGGCUAGCGUUGCUCGGAAUCACUGGGCGUAAAGGUGCGUAGGCGGGUCGUUUAAGUCAGGGGUGAAAUCCUGGGAAGCUCAACUCCAGAACUGCCUUUGAUACUGAGGUAUCUUGAGUACGGGAGAGGUGAGUGGAACUGGCGAGUGUAGAGGUGAAAUUCGUAGAGUAUUCGCAAGAACACCAGUGGCGAAGGCGGACUCACUGGCCCGGUACUGACGCUGAC
rnacentral:rRNA from 1 species